AGCUUUGCGCGGUGGCAGUAUCGUAGCCAAUGAGGUUUAUCCGAGGCGCGAUUAUUGCUAACUGAAAACUUUUCCCAGAACUGAGAGAAGUAAGUUUCUGUUGUUUAGAAGCCCUUCAGUCUGUGAUGUUCUGUUAAUGGCAGCCCCAAAAGACUAGGG
rnacentral:snRNA from 1 species